CAAGGUUUCCGUAGGUGAACCUGCGGAAGGAUCAUUAUCGAAUUUCGACGGGGGCGCUCGGUUCGGCCAGCACCGGUGGAGACGCCGUGUUGCGGUCGGCCUUGCGCCCUCUUCCAAACUCAAACCCCUGUGAACCUUUGGGAGGGAUGCGCCGCGUUUCGGAGCGCCCUCCCGUUCCUUAACCAACUCUGAUGUCUAUUCGAAUGUCGCGAUUCGGGGCAGCCCCGAUGUCGAAUCGAAAACAACUUUCAACAACGGAUCUCUUGGCUCUCGCAUCGAUGAAGAACGCAGCGAAAUGCGAUAAGUAAUGUGAAUUGCAGAAUUCAGUGAAUCAUCGAAUCUUUGAACGCACCUUGCGCCCUUUGGUAUUCCGAAGGGCAUGCCUGUUUGAGUGUCUUGAAAUCAUCAAACCCAUCGGUGCUUGUCUCCGGUGGGCUUGGACUUGGGGGUUUGCUGCCGCCUGCGGUGGCUCCCCUUAAAUGAAUCGGUCGGGCUAUCGUGUGCCGGUCCACGGGCGUUGUAUUACCCUCGUCCUAGGAUGGCGCUCGACUCGAAGGCCCUUCCUCGACUCGCCUCUGGAGCGGCGGUCAAAGGCGCUAAGCCACUUUGUGAUCUGACCUCAAAUCAGGUAGGACUACCCGCUGAACUUAAGCAUAUCAAUAAGCGGAGGAAAAGAAACUAACAAGGAUUCCCCUAGUAACUGCGAGUGAAGCGGGAAGAGCUCAAAUUUGAAAUCUGGCGGCUUCGCCGUCCGAGUUGUAUUCUGGAGAAGCGUCU
rnacentral:rRNA from 1 species